rnacentral:rRNA from 1 species
AAAACUUUCAACAACGGAUCUCUUGGUUCUGGCAUCGAUGAAGAACGCAGCGAAAUGCGAUAAGUAAUGUGAAUUGCAGAAUUCAGUGAAUCAUCGAAUCUUUGAACGCACAUUGCGCCCAUUAGUAUUCUAGUGGGCAUGCCUGUUCG